CUUUUGGAGAGUUUGAUCCUGGCUCAGGACGAACGCUGGCGGCGUGCCUAAUACAUGCAAGUCGAGCGGACCGAACGAGAGCUUGCUCUUGUUUGGUCAGCGGCGGACGGGUGAGUAACACGUGGGCAACCUGCCCGCAAGACCGGGAUAACUCCGGGAAACCGGAGCUAAUACCGGAUAACACCAAAGACCGCAUGGUCUUUGGUUGAAAGGCGGCUUCG
rnacentral:rRNA from 1 species